GUGAUUUUCACCAGCAAUAGUGAUAGAGGGUAAAGAAGGUUUGGGUGGAUAUGAUAGCUGCUUAUAGGGAAUAAGGUCAGUAAGAGUGGUCCUGGAAUUUGCAUGCUAUCUUUAUUUAGCGCAGUGGUUAUGAAUAACUAUCUUAUCACAUCAUAUAACUGAAGGAAAUUCAUAUGGUGAUCAGAAAUAUUUGAGUCAGCUGGUCAUUUUUACUCACUCUAAAUCUGCCAUAUUUUGGUUCCCUCUCCUGCAGCUGUUAUUGUGCCAAGGACCCUGAGUCUUCACCAGGGAAGACUCACAUGCCCCAGGAAUGGAUGGAAAAGAAACAAAGUUUACAGCUUAGAAAUAUGUCUUUUUAGGAACUUUUUGUUCAUGAAUGCC